ensembl:lncRNA
GUAUGUAAAACUACAUAAGACCAUUCUAACCAAAAAUAUAAUUUACCGGAAAAAUACCUCGGAAAAUUCUAAAUAAAUGAAGCCCGCGGACAAUGCAUAUUUGAAUUGUACCGUAGUUAAGUUGGAGGUACCCUGGCGGUGGUCCAGUUUAGAGAAAAUGACGCGUGGAACUGGGCGGUGAGCUCCUCUGUCAUGGACAAAGGCAAGGCAAGGCAACUUUAUUCAUAUAGCCCUUCUUAUACACGAGGCAGAAUCAAAGUGCUUCACAUAAAAACAUUGUCAUACAAUAACAUGAAAUUAAAUAAAAUGGAUCAAUAAAAGAAAACAAAGGCAAACUAAAUAAAAGCAAACAUAUAAGUCUUCAGUCCUGUUUUUAAAAGUGGUCAGAGUUGGGGCAAGUAAAUCCUCAGGGAGGUUUUCAUUUUAGUACCAUCUCGGUUUUGUCCUCAUUUAGUGGAAGGAAAUUUUGAGAAAGUCUUUGACUUUCUCAAUGCACUGGCACAGCAGAUAUAGGCCUAUGGGCCGAUAGUCAUUUGGUGAUAGCGCUACAUAGAUUUGCGAACAAAGGGUAGCCUAUUUGUGUCUUUUGUGAUUAUGGCCUAGUUACUGCUCUCAGGUCAAGGUCCACGCCGAGAGAUGUGAUAACCGUUGCCAUCGCUGUGGUUGGACUUUUGACCACGUCAAUCGUUUCAGAUUAAACUUUUUAACAUAGGACCGAUCAGAAAUGUUACGCAUGCUACGAAAAUACAAAAGACCAUUAAAAUGACAUAAACAAUCGCAAUCUCAUUAUAUUCAGACAACGACCAUGAACCAGAUUUAGAUUCAACCUGAACUGCUAGAUUAAGAGCUGCUGUUAAUGUUAGAUCAUUAUUUUCCAGUAACAGCCUUUGCCUAAUUAAUUCAUUUUUUGUGUGCAGUAUCAGUUGGUCCCUUAUCAUUUCGUCCUGUAACGCCCCGUACUUGCACAUGGUAGCCAGCAUCCCUAAUUCAGCCGCGAACCUCUCCACUGACUCCCAUGGACGUUGGCGCCUGCGUCGGAAUAUGACGCGACGGAGCAGAACACCUUUAGGAGCGGGGUAAUGUGCUUUCAUGAGCUCCACGGCCUUUGCGAAAGUAGGCGCGGGGCCAAGAGUUCCCAACACGCGCUGUCCCUCCGCUCCCAGACAGUGCAGCAGCAGUGCACGGUACCUCCACUCCGGAACAGUGUCCAGGCCGGCAGCGGUGAUAAACGUUUGGAACAAGGUAAUCCAGAGGGGCCACGGCACCGGUGGUUCUCCCGGCAGGGCUAGGAAGGGGAGGGGGUGGUAGGCAGCAUCCAGCCAUCCUCGUCGCCAAUGUUGUUAUGUUUCAAUAAUGGAGACUGAGAAAAGAUCCAACGUCGAAGCUGUUAUGUUCGUUCCUUAGCCUAUUAUUCUACUUCCUGUAGUUUGGUCUGGCUGGUGAAAGAACAAAACAAGAGUUGAGAGACACGCAGAGUUAGAUCUGAAUAACGGAGUCAUAAUUUUGACUCCUCCCAGAGGGCAACGCAGUUAAGUUUCGUUUUGUCCGCCAUUACGCCGAUGGUCAUUUCAGCUGCAACCGAUCUGGAUAAAAGUCUGGAAAGUCUGCUAGGAAAAUAACAACGAUGGAGGCAACUGUUAGGGUGAAAUAUAAGGACAGAAAGAAGUACUUCUUCCUAACAUCACCUUUUCAAUUCGAAGUAUUUUUGGAAAGUGAUUCCUUCAGUUCUAGUACGAUUGGCGAUGGUGAGGCUUCCUUCAGUUCUGGUACAAUUGGCGAUGGAGAGCCUUCAUCAGGAUCUGAUGACACAGCAAUAGUGAUCAGAAAUCCCUCAGAAAAAAGACAUGAAGAGGACCGUCGUCUGGGUCGAAUGAUUGAGGACAUCCUCAAGAGUAGCCCUGGAGCACAAGCCCCCCUAGGAGAUUGAAGGAGGAAUACGCCAAAGGAAUCAUCUGCCUUUUUCCUUACUUGGCUGACCCCCGGAGCAAGCUUGGCUAUGAACAUUUUUAUAAUGCUGAAGAUGGAAGUGGGUAUUUGGCUUGGAGAAUCAAAACUCUGCAGAAAGAGGUGUCCGAGGGGCGAAUGAAACGGUCACGACAACUUCAAACAGGUGAGCCAACUUCACACAGGGAUCCAUUGAAAGAAGACAUCCAAUGGGACGAACAGCAGUGUCAAGAAGCAAUUGCCCUGAUGAAGCAUUCUACGGAUGAAGUUGUAGUGAAGGAGAAAAUGAGGCUAACCCUGGCCUAUCGUCAGAAGUUGCUGCACGAUCCUGAGAACUCAGCCGACAUCCUAUCUGUUUUUCCUCGUUUCUUGGACAUUCCAGGUUUGAUUGUUCAAGAUUUCAGGAGUCUUUUUGGUGACGCAACCUCUGCAAAGAUGUUGGAAAAGUGGACCACCAACUUUCAAGCAAAGGUUGUAACUCAGUGUCGUGGGCUUACACUGACUGGAGAUGUACAAGACCUCAUCCAAAAUGCUGAAGCCACUGAAGUAGAUGAUGGCUGGGACAGUGACAUGUCAUCAAUGCUGUUGCUGGUUCACCUUCUGCCACCUUCAAGCCAAGGCGGAAAAAAAACCAGGGAAAAUCUCAGCCAGACAAGCAUGCGACAGUCUUGUAAAAUUCAUCAAGGUACAUGUUUGAGUAGAAACACUAUUCAACAGGGAUGUAGCCUUUUAAAUCAAGUGGUCCCUGGAAGUUGGUCAUCACACAGCAGACGGUCCACAGCUGAUUGACUGUCACAGACAAGAUUGGGACCAGCAUCCAAGGACACCUGGACAACAUCUCUGGGAGUCUCCAGCCAUACCUACUUGCUGUUGGUGCCAAGAAGAGCAUGAUCGAGUCUUACUACAUCGUGAUCGACAAACAUGCUCUACCCUGUAAGACCUCAACUUCAUUGGCUUGUGUUGAUGAACUUUUCAAAGCACAUUUCGUCUUUGGCACAAGAUACUGUCAGGAAUUGACCAAUGUGUACACCUUUCUGCAAACCACUGUCUAUGACAUAGAUGUGGAAAACACCAAGGUAAAUCCUAGAGUUGCAGAGUUGAGGGCCAGGAUGCUGAAGUAAACUCCUAUGAUCUGCUUCAUUUGUCUUUGUCCCGGAAAAACUCUCAGGUUAAAAUGUGCUCAAAGGGGUUGUGCACAUGUAUAUAAUAGUUUUUCUGGAUUACGAAAGCAUCUCACUAAGUGUUCUUUGCGUGACAGUUCAAGUGUUAAUGAAAGUUCAUCUUCAGCAUAGGAGUGGAGAAUGAGAUGCCUGUGUUUCAUGUAGUCCAGAAUAUUGUUGUAAGAGAUUAGUGUUCUUUUUAUAACGACUGCUAUGAAAACUCUUUAUUUAGAGGAACAUGUCCAUGCUUUCAAGGUUAUGCACACCACAGAAGCACCCAUUGUUUUGGAAUUUAAAGACCUUUUGCACCACAAGUCUUCUGAUUUUUUUUAUGUGGUCUUGAUUCAGAUUUGUUUAUAAUCCAUUAUUUUUUCAUGCAAUGCUUUUUGUUUAGAAUGAUGUCAACAGUGUGCAUGUGCAC